rnacentral:ribozyme from 1 species
GAGACUAUGAUGAUGCUAGAACAACUGAAAGCUAGGUAUAAAGAAACAAUCGAGACGCUAGUCACACAGCUUCAAGGCUCCACAGAACGCUGUCACAACCUCUCAGAUCAACUUGCUCUC